rnacentral:rRNA from 1 species
GUCUUUUUGUUUAAAAUUUAAAGUCUGGCCUGCCCACUGAAUUUUUAAGGGCCGCAGUAUUUUGACUGUGCGAAGGUAGCAUAAUCAUUAGUUUUUUAAUUGAAAGCUGGAAUGAAGGGUUGAACGAGGGAAUGACUGUCUCUAUAUUAAUUUAUUAGAAUUUUAUUUUUAAGUUAAAAAGCUUAAAUUUUUUUAAAAGACGAGAAGACCCUAUAGAGUUUAAUAAAAUUUUAAAUUGAGAAUAAUUAGAAUUUUUUACUUUUAAUUUAAAGUUUUAUUUUAUUGGGGUGAUAGAAAAAUUUAAUAAACUUUUUUUUUAUUUGAACAUUUAUUUAUGAUUGUAUGAUCCAAUAUUUUUGAUUAUAAGAUUAAAUUACCUUAGGGAUAACAGCGUAAUUUUUUUUGAGAGUUCUUAUCGAAAAAGAAGAUUGCGACCUCGAUGUUGGAUUAAAAUAUAAAUUUGGUGUAGUAGCUAAAUUAUUAGGUCUGUUCGACCUUUAAAAUUUU